rnacentral:rRNA from 1 species
CUUUCAACAACGGAUCUCUUGGCUCUCGCAUCGAUGAAGAACGUAGCGAAGUGCGAUAAGUAGUGUGAAUUGCAGAAUUCCGUGAAUCAUCGAAUCUUUGAACGCAAAUUGCACUCCCUGGCACCCCGGGGAGUAUGCCUGUUUGAGGGUCAGU